rnacentral:rRNA from 1 species
AGAUUGAGAGCUCUUUCUUGAUUCUAUGGGUGGUGGUACGU